rnacentral:rRNA from 1 species
GAGUUUGAUCCUGGCUCAGGACGAACGCUGGCGGCGUGCUUAACACAUGCAAGUCGAACGGGAAUUACUUUAUUGAAACUUCGGUCGAUUUAAUUUAAUUCUAGUGGCGGACGGGUGAGUAACGCGUGAGUAACCUGCCCUUGAGAGGGGGAUAACGUCUGGAAACGGACGCUAAUACCGCAUAAAAUUAUCCAGUCGCAUGGCAGGAUAAUCAAAGGAGCAAUCCGCUGAAGGAUGGACUCGCGUCCGAUUAGAUAGUUGGCGGGGUAACGGCCCACCAAGUCGACGAUCGGUAGCCGGACUGAGAGGUUGAACGGCCACAUUGGGACUGAGACACGGCCCAGACUCCUACGGGAGGCAGCAGUGGGGGAUAUUGCACAAUGGGCGAAAGCCUGAUGCAGCAACGCCGCGUGAGGGAAGACGGUUUUCGGAUUGUAAACCUCUGUUCUAAGUGACGAAG